ensembl:lncRNA novel transcript
AUUUGGCUAAGCUCCUGCAGCUGUUGGGGGCUGCAUCUGACAAGUGGCCGUGGUUUCAAGUCUCUGGAGUCCCAUUUUUUUCUCUUCCAUGGAGUUUGUUUGCUGCAGUUUGAGGAGCCGAGGCAUAUGAUAAAUACCAGGCCUUUGGACUCAGAUGGAAUUAUACCACGGGGUUUCCUGGAUCUCCAGCAUGCAGAUGGUAGAUUGUGGAACUUCUCAGCCUCCAAAAUCGAGUGAGCCAAUUCCCAUCAUAAAUCCCCUCUCCUAUGUCUAUAUAUGUCCUAUUGCUUCUCCUUCUCUGGAGAAUGCUGACUAAUACAGACAUAAUACAGCAGUCUUUGGGGUUGAUGUAUGAGUAUGUGGAGGAAGAACUAGACAUGAAGCAGAGUAUGCUUUCUUUAACAUAACUUUUUCAUUAAAAUAGUUAUAUGUGCUUAGUACAAAAACUUGGAAAAUACAGAAAUGUAGUGAAAAAGGAA